UAUAUUUUUUGUCUUCAGUGAAUAAGAAAUUAAAAGCCAAAAAAAAGAAAAACAAACUCGCCAAUAAAGUUGCUGAUAAAAACAGAUCUAAGUGAAUAUUCAGAAAUAUUUCAACAAAUUUCUCCUGGACAAGAAUUUAAAUUGAAUACAAUAUUUGUUAGAAUUAGAACUAUAUAUUUUCUGAAGAAUGAAAGUAUAAGUUUAUUUAAAAUUUUAGUCAGUCAUUGUUUUAAUUUUCGAUAAAGAUUACUGAGUUACUUAAACGUUUUCAUUUUACAAAAAAGAUAAUUUCAUUAAUUAAUACGUAAUAGAAUAAAGAGUAUAUAUAUAUAUAUAUAUAUACACAUAUAAUAAACACAUAUUAAGUUUUAGUUGUACUACUGUGAAGACAGUGCUUCAGUAUGUUCAUUUUUUUUUUUCGUGUUAAAUUUUAUUUAUAAAGAAAGGGAAUGUUUGAUACAUUUACCAACCUAUUGGAUAUUUUUGAUAUUCCACAUGUUCUAAUGUAUUAAAAUGUUUAUGUGAUGUUUUGUUUUGCAAAUAUUGCAUAUGGCAUACAACAGAUUGUAUCUUCCUCAUGAAUAGAUUGGUACUUUUUACUGUUUUUGAAAAGUCCAUGUUGUGUGCAAGAUAAUUUAUUGCAAUUAAAUAUAAAUGGCAGAUUCCACUACAUCAUA
rnacentral:lncRNA from 1 species